rnacentral:sRNA from 1 species
AUAAAGCAAUUAUAAUAUGUUUGAUCAGUAUCAGUCCACUGAUAUUUAUGAUACCAGUAUCAUCUGACGUGGCUUCUUCUGAUUGGUCACAUUUGACAAAAACAAAA